rnacentral:rRNA from 1 species
GCGUGUGCGCGAGUCAUUGGGUGUAAAACCUAAAGGCGCAAUGAAAGUGUCAGGGGUGCCUCCUUCAGGAGCGCAUCCCGUUGGGAGGAUGGGCCGCCGUACGAUCACUCGUCGGAGCCCCGCACUCCCGGGGCGUCUCGUUCUCAUCACGAGUGGAGACGCACCAGGAGCGCACACGCUGGUACCCGAAAGAUGGUGAACUAUGCCUGGCCAGGACGAAGCCAGGGGAAACCCUGGUGGAGGUCCGAAGCGAUUCUGACGUGCAAAUCGAUCGUCUGAGCUGGGUAUAGGGGCGAAAGACCAAUCGA